CAGCCCAGCAGCCCCGCACCUGCUUCCAGGGCCUGAGCGAGAAAUGUAGGCAUGCGCUCAUGAGCGUGGGUUUGUUCUUCUCUUUCCGACCCAAGCCAAGGAGGCGAGUUCACGGCAGAUGGCUCCAAGUUGGAGCUCUCAAAAUAUUUACGCAGCACUGCAGCUGUUGGACUUCACAGACCCGCCCCUGGAGCCUGAGGCCGACAGGUCCAGCCCAUGGAGAAUGCUGGCUAGUCUGAGCCCCAAGCACCCAUUUUAGAUCCAGAGGAAAGGAGGGUAGGAGCCUGGCUUUAAUUGCAAGUGAAACCCGGGGAGUGCUCUUGAGCGGAGAUGUGCGAGCAGAGGAGAGCCUGGCAGUAUGCGUGCGGCUGUUCCUUGCUGUUCCACAUGCCUAGAGCAUUCCAGCCACCGCACCAGCACAGCAUUCUGGGGGACAAAGCCUGGGAACCCAGUGAGAGUCAGUGUGAGUGCAAGCUCCUCAGUCUCACAUCUGAAUGUCUCACCUAACGACAUUAUGGUAUUUAGCCUCAAAAAUAUCAGCUGCAAUAUGGCAUCUGCUGGGAAUACGGAAGCUGGUUUGGUUCUGUUCCGGGAUAAUACACGUGAAGGCUGAAGGCGGAGCCUGUAAGAGGGGAUUCUACAAAGAACCCUUUUGCUUCUCUUCAGUUCAGUUCUGAAUCUUAGAAAUUGUCGCUGUUCAAGGCGGGCUUUGGCCUCUUCCUAUGUCCCCUGGCCCCGCAGAGCUGCCCAACCAGGGGGUGGUACCCACAUCCUGCCCAGGUCCCUUUCCAGGAGUUCUCUUCAUGGAUUCUCCUCACCUCUGUGUUCCCCACCCCAUCUGUCCUUCUCUAACAGUAUCAACAGAAAGCACACGGUGCCUCCUUACUUACCAUGUCCUCCUCCAAGUAGAAUCACACUACCUCACAGGUGCUGUGAGAACUUCACAACAGAACGGCUCCAUUUCUCUCCCCCCACCCCAGCCUUGGUGCUGUUGUUACGCACAUGCGUCUACAUAGUUUAUAAACUCCACGCUGCAUUGCAAUGAUUUUCACUCAGUCCAAUGUCUUUUAAAGAGAGUUAAACAAUGUUAAAAUCUUACUAUUUAGCCAUGAAGGUAAAGUUCCUGGAACUGUCUGUUCCUUUGCUUAGGUCCAUCUUUCCAGCUUGUGUCCUGUCCCUUCUACCCAAAGAACUUCCUUUGACAUUGUUUAUAAUGCACUUCUGCUGGUGAUGGAUUCUUUCAGCGUUUGUACAUCUGAAAAGGUUUUCAUGUCACCUUCAGUUUUGGAAAAUAUUUUUGCUAGUUAUAGAAUUCUAGGUUGACAGGUUUGGCUCCCCACCCCCCCCCCCGCCCCUCAACCCUUAAAAGACAUUGUUCCACUCUCUUCUCACAUUGUUUCCAAAGAAAAAUAACUGCUGUCAUUCUUACCCUUGUUCCUCUGUCCAUGACUUGUUUUGUUCCGCUGGUUGCCUUUAAGAGCUUCUCGCCAUCCCUGAUUUUGAGCGAAGUGAUUACGGUGUUAUUUGGCAUAGCUUUCUCCAUGUUUCUCAUGCCCGUGGAUUCUCGGACAUGUGGUUUUACAGUUUUUAUCAAAUUUGGCACAUUUUGGGCCAUUAUUUCUUCAAGCAAUCUUUUCUGUUUCCCAGAUUCCUCCCAUUCUCCUUCAGAGACUUCUAUUACACAUAUAAUUAGGCUGUUUUAAAUUAUGUCAUGGCUCACCAAUGCUCUGCCCGUUUUCUCCUGGUCUUUUCUCUCUCUGUCUAGUCUCUAUCGGUUCAUUUUGGGUAGUUCCUACUGCUGCCUUCAAGUUCACUAGCCCAUCUUCCACAAUGUCUAGUUAAUCCAACCUUGGACAUGGCAGUUUUCAUCUCUAGAAGUUUGAUUUGCCUCUUUUUUUUUUUUUUAAAUAUAUCUUCCACCCUAGCACUUGACAUGUUCCUCUAGCUUCUUGAACAUCUGGAAAACCGUUAUCGUAACAGUUAAUGUCCUUCUCUGCUGACUCUACCUUCAGUGUCAGCUCCGGGGCAGUCUCGACCGGUCAACGUACCUCCUCCGUGUGGUUCUUCUUUUCCUUCUUCUUUGCAUGCCCAACAACUUUUUGUUUGCUGCCAGACAUUGUUGGGCACUGGACCUUCCUGUAUUCCUGUAAAUAUUCUCAAGCUUCGUCCUGGGACACAGUUGAAUUAGUUGGCAACAACAUGGUGCUUUUAGGUCUUUCAUGAUUUGUUAGGUGACGGGGGAUCAGUAGUCCACCUGGAAUUAGCUCUUCCCCACUACUGAGGCAGAACUUUCCUGCGUAUUUUGCCCAGUACCUUGUGAAUUUUGAGCUUUCUCAGUCUGGCUUAUGGGAAUUGGUACUAUUUUCAUCUCUGUGUGACCUCUGAGAAUUGUUCCUCCUAAUCCUUCAGGGUGGUUCUUUUUCCAGCCAUGACUAGUUUGUUUGUAUGAAUGCACAGUUCACUACUUAGAAGACUGCUCUAUAGAUCUCUAGAAUUUCUCUCUGGGCAGCUUGCUCCUGUCUGGUACUCGGCCCUGUGGAAUCUAGUCACCUUGGCCUCCCUGAAGUUCCUGCUCCAUAUUUUUUUUUCAAUUUUUUAAAUGUUUAUUUAUAUUUUGAGAGAGAGAGAGAGUGCGAGGGAGGGAGGGGCAGAGAGAGAUGGAGACCGAAUCUGAAGGAGGCUUCAGGCUUUGAGCUGUCGGCACAAAGCCUGACGCGGGGCUUGAACUCGCAAACCGCGAGAUCAUGACCUGAGCCUAAGUCGGACACCUAACCAACUGAGCCACCCAGGUGCCCCCUUGCUCCACCUUUUCAACUCAGAGAGACCACCAGGGCUCCUCCUGGGUGCCCUCUCCCUGUGCACCUGGAAACUCCAUGUAGCAAGCUGGAUAAUUAUAGGGCUCACCUCCACAGUGGUUUCCCAGCUCUCAGAGAACACUGACCUUCAGUGCCUAUUGUCCAGCGUCUUGAAAACCAUUAUUUCAUGUAUUUCACCCAAUUUUUUAGUUAUUUCAAGUUGGUGGGUACAGUGAGUCCCUGCGACUCCAUUUUGGCCAGGACAGAAAGCAUGUAUAAACCUGAAUGUGUUUAUGACUUCAAGUAUUUUCCCCAUAAUCUGAUAGUGUUUGCAAGGCGAGUGUAUUCCAAACCUUUAUUUUGACAUAAUGUAAAAGUUACAAAAGAGUUGCAAAUAUAGUGCAGAGAAUUCUGACACACCCUUCACCCAGUUUCCCCAAAUGUAUAUUUUUUAUUUGUACUUCUUUUCAGUGUCCAAGUAAUGAAUGCUAAUGGUAAAAACAAAAAAAAAAUGUUAUAGUUGAUACUUGAGAAUAUAAAUAAUGUAAUAAUCACAUCAUGUAUUUUCUUGUCAUGUUAAUAUGUAUCAGGGAAGACGGGACACUGUUCUCCUUCUUGUCAUAUUCCUACCACAGCAAAUGGAGGAGGGAGCUUCUCUGCCUCCUUGGAGAGUGUUGGAGGGACCACAGCCUUCUGGGUUUUUCUCUCUAUACUCACCUACUCGCAUGAGCAGAAACAGCUCUUUGGGUGAGGCCCAACAUUGGGCCACAUUUUGCUAGUGGGCAGGGCUUAAAGUGUUAAAAGUUCAGCUCUUAUGAGGUGGGCUCACUGGACUCUUAGCUUCUUGUCUCUGGUUGGUGAACCCCCCCCCCCCCAGCCCAGGGCAAGGCCCAGCACCUGCUUCUUUUACGCUCUCCCUUCGACCAUAAUUAGGCAGAUGAGACAGACCAAUAGUCCAGGAAGGAAGCUGGCUUGGGGUCUGGAUACAGAGCCAGUUCUGUGGGUCCAGCUCUCCCCACAGUCAAGCACUCGGGUCUUUAUCCAGGGGAAGGAGGCUCUACCCUGGAUUCACUUCCAAGACCUGUUCUCCCAGCCAGUUGACCAAGACAGUCCUGCACUCAGGGCUGUUGGUGUUUGCCUACUUAGUAAUAAAGCUAAUAUUUCAAUUCCAUUUGCCUAGUGAUUUUCCAUUGGCCAGUAUCCUAGGGAAAGAGAGUCAAGUGUAUGAUGGGUGUACCCAACCUCUCAUCCAAACCUCCAGAAAUGUAAUUUACAUAAUUAUUUUUUUAACUUUCUCUUUUUUUAAUUAAUUUAUUUUUUUUAUUUUAGAGAGAAGAUGUCAGCCAGGGAGAGGGGCAAAGGG